UUCAUAUUUUAUCCUAAGGAAGAUGGGAAGCCACUGGAAGGUUUUCAGCAGGGUGGUGCUCUGAUUCAUUUUAAGAAGAUCAUGAAGCUUGUCCGAGAACAGGCUUUGGGCAGAGGAGUAGGAGGAGGUCAAGUUUGAGAUGCGUAGCCCUCCGUAGAUGCAGAGGGCUAAGGACAGCUGACCAGGGAAGUCUGGAGAUCAGAGUGGAGACGGGGACACAAAAUCGGGAGUGAUCAGCAAACCACUGGCAUUUGAAGAUGGUCGGUACCAUUAUCAUCCCUACUGCACAAAGAAGAAAAUGUAUGCAGAGAGAUGCGGAGACUUGCCAAAAAUGACACAGCUGGCAGUGCUGCGGCAGAGGCAAGAUUUGAACACAGGACCUCACAGCCACAGAAC